rnacentral:ribozyme from 13 species
UUUUUUUUUUUUUUUUUUUUUUUUUUUUUUUUUUUUUUUUUUUUUUUUUUGAAAAAAGAUACAUAUAUGUGAACAAGGAGAAAAAAAU